rnacentral:rRNA from 1 species
GCAGGCUGAAAUUCGCCUGCNUGAAGCCGGAAUUGCUAGUAAUGGCAGGUCAGCAUACUGCCGUGAAUACGUUCCCGGGCCUUGUACACACCGCCCGUCACACCAUGAGAGUUGGGGAUACCCAAAGCCCGUGAGCCAACUUUAAAAGAGGCAGCGGUCUAAGGUAGAAUCAAUGAUUGGGGUGAAGUCGUAACAAGGUAAC